UGGGAUACUUAGUACUUUCUUUAGAUAGCCAAUCAUCUACUUGGUUUCUUUCGCUAUAGAUAUGUGAAAGUCUUAUCUGCCUAUUAUCUUCAAACAGAGCUUCUAUGCUUCUAACAAGAGGAUUUGUUUGCUGUUUUCGUCACUUCUUCUUCCUUAGCACUUGCCAAACCGACCUUAAAUCUGUUUCCACUGCUAUCCUUUUAAACCCCAAGUCUUUCGCCAAUUUUAUGCUUUGAUAGACUCCACAUAACUCAUCUUCAAAAGUAGAGCAAUGUCCAAUGUUCAUAAUGAACCCAGCUAUCCACCUUCCCUCUUCAUUUCUAACCACGCCACUGCAUCCGACAUCUCUAGAGUUGCCAACAGAAGUUUCAUCCGUAUUAACUUUGACCCAUCCCUUCGGGAGAGGCGUUCAGGCUAUAAGGAUCUCCGUUAUUCUUCUUUACUUCCUAAAAAAAUUUUAUUUUUAUCAAAUGCCUUUUCAUUCUCAACAACAUAUUGCCUAAUAAAAGUCACUGGAUCUUGCGGACGCUUAUCAGGAUAGGUGAAGAUUUCUUGAUUACGCCACUUCCAUAGCUACCAGCAAGCGAUGACGAAGAUUGAGGUCCAGUCAUGCUGGUUUUGGUCCCCUAACUCAGUGGACAGAUUCCAUCUUAGCCAGUAUUUGAAUAGAGCUCUAAAGAAUUCUUGAAUCUUGGAGGGAUCAAGGAGCUGUGUCCAAACUCGGGACGUUACAGGGCAGUCUCUAAGAACGUGGAUUAUGGUUUCAGGGGUUCCGUGACACCGGUGACAAUCAGGUAUUAUGGCAUUGAUGGGGUCACUAAAGUUUAUUGAAAUAAAUUCUGCGUUAAAAUUGGGGGGCUUAGGAUCAUGUGGUUUUUCCAUCAUAAUCACCUAUUUUCCAGUAUUUGAAACUUCUACGGAUUGGUUUGGGCUGUGGGCUUCAGAUUCAGCCCAAUUCUCCUGGAAAUAGUUUAGGGGGCUGUUAAAUAUCAUGCUGGUUGUUAAUAAGUGGUCUUUGUGUGUGUUUAGGUUUGGGCCAAUCUGUGUGACUUGGUUUUAGGUUUCUCUUUGUGGUUUCUGUUUUAGAUUUGUGGUUACAUUUGUGUUUACAUCUUUGGCUUUUGGGUUAUCGUUGUUAGUGUGGGCUUGUUUGGAGCUGGCUUUGGUCAGGGGAUGUUGGGUUUGGUCUUUAUUCUGUUUGUUAACUCUAGUUAAUUUGGGUUGGGAUGCUUUGUCAUUUCCUCUUUUAUCAUUAGUGGCCUCAGCUUCUGACACCUCAUGAUUAGGUAAUUCUUAUACCUUCUCAUUUUCAAUAUGCAAAAUUUCGAAUCGAGAUGCAUGUCUCCCUGUACCCACAUUCCUUCCUUUUUAAUUCUUAUCAUCACCUUUACUCGCACCUACUCCAAUUUUCACUCCUUUCUUUCCACGUGUAUUACGUUGUACAAGCAUAUAUGGUCCAAAAUUGUCGUUGGAAGCUUCCAUGACUUUUUGUUGUAAUUCAUUUUCUACCCUCUCCUUCAACAUAUGAUCCAUCUCAUUUUCCUUUCUCCCUCUCUGCCUGAGCUUGCUCUACUGCAUUUUUGCUUUGUUGUUUUCUGGACAGUUAGCUUUCUCGUGCCUAAUUUUAUCGCAUUGGAAGCAAACUUGAUGAAUUUCUUCAUAUACAAUUUUGUGCACUUGUCCAUUUAUAAGGUAUUGGGAUACCAGGGGCUUGUCCAGUUCUACCUCCACACACAAACGUGCAAACUUUUCUCUUGUGAUCUCAACUAUAUUAGUGUCAAGUUUAAUGGUUCUUCCCACAAUCCCACUAAUCUUCUGUAAAAUGGCUCUAUGAUAAUAUUCAAUAGGCAAUUUUGGCAGUCAAAUCUAGACUGCUAUCUUAUCAAUUACUGCCGUGGUAGGAUUGAAAUUCGGUUUCCAUAGCCGAAUAGUAAGGUAGUGAUCCAAUACCUUCCAUGGCCCCUCCAUCAAAGCGUAGUCCAGAUCACUAGAAUUAUGGAAUUUUAUUAAGAAAAAAUUAUUUCCUAGAUCAAUAACAUUUAUACUCCCCAUAUUAUCCCACAUAGCCUCCAAACGCCUUUUGAGAGUAAUGAGAGAGAUCUUCCUCCCCAAGAUCUUGACAAUGAUGGUCUUCCAUCAAUCUUUUCGUAAUUCCCUCUGCACUCCUUCACUAAUGACUAAGUUGUAUAAUCCAUUUGGCAACUUCUUUAUGAGAAUAUCCAAGUCAUCAUCACUUUCAUCAGCUUUCAUAUCAUCCUGCAUGACUGUCUCCUCCUCCUUGUGCUUCUGAGACGCCUCUCCCUCUUGGUAUGCCUGGUUUCCUUUUUUUUACCAUUGAGGCAAAAGAAAAUCUUUUUAGUUGCUAUUUUACUAACACCUAUCUCCUCCACAGCAGCCAACUCAUGGAUAGUGGGCUCCUCCAUUAAGUUCCUUGUGUCAUCCACCAUCCAGUCUUCAACUCUAGCUGGAUUGGCUUCCUUGUCGAGAAUUCGUCCCCUUGAGUUGCAAUUUUGCUCUUUUUCAGCUCCUUUUUGGAAGUCUCUUCAUCUUUUUUGGGUGUGUUUUUCGGCGUAUAAGAUCUAGAUGCCCCACCUCUCACAAAUCCAUCUUUCAUGGUGGUAGUCUCUAAAGGAGACUUA